AUGUGGAUUUCCGCUAUACUUCCCAGUGAUUUGGUUAAUUUUGGACCCUUAAUGGACACCUUCAGAGUGGAAAAGGAAGCCUUCUGGGUCUCGAUGGGAGUGCUGGGAAGAAGUGUGCCUGCCAAGGGGACCUGGGGAAGGAUCCUGUCCUCUGGCCACAAAAGGGGUGAACUGCCUUUUGCUGCGGUUCAGCACUCUCAGAGAAGGGCACAGAAGGGUGCCCUCACAUACGAACGUAUCUCCAAACACCUAUGUGAGCUGUCCACAGUCUACUGUUGCUGCAGACAGCAUCUGGUAAGGAGUUUCUAAAACCUGGGGAUUGUCUCUGCCAAAGCCUGCAACUUCUCCGUGCGCGUUUUGGUGCAAGAGCUAACAACAGAUUAAAACUUUUUAAUUGUUAUUUCUGCAAUUGGAUUGCAAGUUCAUUUGUGGAACCAGUUGGUGUAUGUCAUGAAAUCUGAUUGAUUGAACAGUUAAUCCUUGAAAGCUUUCCUUUGAAAUGUUGCCAAGGUCAAUCAGGGAUAGUGCGCAUAUAUACGUGUCAGGGAAAUUACCUAUUUUGACACUUUUAUCUACCCCCAUGUAGCUGCAAACAAGCAGAAUUUUCUGGUCUUCUCUUACAUAACGUGAACUUCCCUCAGAGCACUGUUUUUAGUGAUCCAUGUUCAGCUCAGUGCUCGUGGAAUACAGAAAAACAUUUAAUUUUAAUGAGAUGAUCAGAAAAUUAUAAUAUUCCUUAUAAAAUAGUAUUUUCAUCAGUUCUGACCUGCUUGUGGAACAGGUACUUUUAUGUGAAAGAGUACUAUUGUGAAGAACUUGGGGAAGUCUGUUAAUCCCACAUUUUCUGCAAGGGGUGAAUAGUGGCUUGAAUGUAAGUUGUCAUUUACGUAAAUGGGCCACAUCAGAGAUGUUAGUGCUACAAGAUGUGCCUUGUGAACCCUGUGCUAGUUAAGAAAGAUGAGAUAUUUUGGUUCAGGCGAAUAAAAAUUGCAUGUUACUGAGGUACUGGAAGGUA
rnacentral:lncRNA from 1 species